UAAUACUAGGGGUGCGAGCGUUGUCCGGAAUCACUGGGCGUAAAGGGUCCGUAGGCGUCCCAAAAAGUCAUCUGUUAAAUACACCGGCUUAACCGGUGGUAUGCAUUUGAAACUGUUGGGAUAGAGUAUAGGAGAGGAAAGUGGAAUUCCUGGUGUAGCGGUGACAUGCGUAGAUAUCAGGAGGAACACCAAUGGCGAAGGCGGCUUUCUGGCCUAUUACUGACGCUGAGGGACGAAAGCGUGGGGAGCGAACAGGAUUAGAUACCCUGGUAGUCCACGCCGUAAACGAUGAGUACUUGGUGUCGGGGGAAUCGACCCCCUCGGUACCGGAGCUAACGCAUUAAGUACUCCGCCUGGGAACUACGACCGCAAGGUUG
rnacentral:rRNA from 1 species